UUUUUUUUUUUAAAGAUUUAUUUAUUUAUUAUAUGUAAGUACACUGUAGUUGUCUUCAGAUACACCAGAAGAGGGCACCAGAUCUCAUUACGGGUGGUUGUGAGCCACCAUGUGGUUGCUGGGAUUUGAACUUCAGACCUUCGGAAGAGCAGUCGGGUGCCCUUACCCACUGAGCCACCUCACCAGCCCCAUCACUAAAGUUUCUUUAAUGAAUGUGGCUACCCUUGCAUUUGGAACAUAGAUAUUCAUAAUUGAGAGUUCAUCUUGGAAGAUUUUACCUUUGAUGAGUAUGAAGUGCCCCUCCUUGUCUUUUUUGAUAUCUUUGUGUUGGACGUCGAUUUUAUUCAAUAUUAGAAUGCCUACUCCAGCUUGUUUCUUCAGACCAUUUGCUUGAAAAAUUGUUUCCCGGCCUUUUACCCUGAGGUAGUGUCUGUUUUUUUUCCCUGAGGUGGGUUUCCUGUAAGCAACAAAAUGUUGGGUCCUGUUUAUGUAGCCAAUCUGUUAGUCUAUGUCUUUUUAUUUGGGAAUUGAGUCCAUUGAUAUUAAGAGAUAUUAAGGAAAAGUAAUUGUUGCUGCCUGUUAUUUUUGUUGUUAGAGUUGGGAUUCUGUUCUUGUGGCUUUUUAGGUUUGUUGAAGGAUUUGAUUGGCUGGAAAGAUAUUGUGUGAAUUUGGUUUAUACUUUUGGUUUCUCCAUCUAUGGUAAUUGAGAGUUUUACUGGUUAUUGUAGACUGGGCUGGCAUUUGUGUUCUCUUAGGAUCUGUAUAACAUCUGUCCAGGAUCUUCUGGCUUUCAUAGUCUCUACUGAGAAGUCUGGUGUAAUUUUAAUAGGUCUGCCUUUAUAUGUUUCUUGACCUUUUUUCUUACUGCUUUUAAUAUUCUAUCUUUUUUUUUUUUUUUUGGUUUUUCGAGACAGGGUUUCUCUGUGUAGCUCUGGGUGUGCUAGAUGCCUGCAGUGUAGAGAGUUCUCUGGGGACCUGGGACCCUCUGCUGAGAUAAUGCCCGAGAUCCCAUGCCUGGCUUUAUGUUGAAAAGAUAGCAUUAAUCUCAUGACUGGAGAUAGCUUUAUUAUCAAUUAUUUCUGCUUGCAGGGGGUGGGGGUAGGGGUCAUUUUGUUCUCCAUUCAAUAUAUCCAGCUGCCUGAAACCUGAAACUUGCCUUUUUCAGGCAGGUAUCUUGACUUCUUUUCUACAUUGAUCUUCAUGUAGCCUCACAAAGUACUUGCAAAGAAUAGCCCUUCCUGGGCUGCUGUGGAUCACAGGUCUUUGCUUUUGAAAGCAGUGAAGAGCUUUACCACUUACUCAAGUGGCUUUGUGACCUUUUGGUGUGUGCAGCUUAGCCCUGCUCUGCUAAGCAUUACAACUAUAUAUGUUAUUAAAUAUCUGAAAGCAUUCCCAGGGUUGAAUGGGGCUGAGUGCUAGAGUACUUAUCAUCAUGCACAAAGCCAUGGGUUUGAUCCUCAGCACCACCAAAGGAAAACAAUAACAAAAAUAAUAGUGAGCAAAGAUAUGGCUAGCAGAUCCUGCCUUCAUCCUGUUCCUGGAUGUAGUGAACAAAGAGAAGGGGGAUUCUGUUGUUUCUGACUCAACUGUUUAGCCUCCAGCCUCAACUCUGCAGUCUUCCUGCCUCACCUCUUGAAUGACUGGAUUACAGGUAUGGAUGUCCAUAUCCAGCUAAACAGGAGGAUCAGUUUCCUUUUUCCUCAUUUCUUCCUUUUUUCCUUCCUUUUUAUUCUGUCUGUUGUACCUGAGUCCAAACAAAUAUGCUAGGUAAAUGGUUUCCUACUGAGCUAUAUCCACAGCAUCAAAGGAGAUUCUUUAAUGGGAAGUUUCUGCUUUUGUAUGAGGUAAAAGUUUAGUUCCUACAUUUUACAGGUAAGGAAACUGAAACACAGAAGGAUCAGGUGGAAGAUCAGGGUCACUGAUAGUUGCUAGUCAUAUCGCCAACCCCACAGGCUUCUGGAGAGCUUGUCCCACCUUGCCAUGCUGCUGUCCAGGAGGAAUACAGUCUCCAAAAGAAGUAGGCAGAUGCUUAAGUAUCACCAGUGACCUAUUUCAUCUGGCUUCCUUACUGAACGUCAACAGAGACUUUGCUUUCCAAUUGAACAGAAUGUCUCCCCAGUUCCCCUCUUGUUCUUUCCCAGUCUUUGAUUUCUGAAAAUGUGGCUGGGCCUGCUUAGCAUGCUUAACAGUACAGCAGGAAGUAGCUUUGGUGGAUUAGUGAGGAUUCGCAUGCUCAGCACUAACCAGCUUGUGUUUGAGGUUUUGAGCUUUAAAGGCUUUGAAAGUCUUCCUUGUCUCCUUUUGGAAGGGUGGGAGUGCAAACAAACAGUCCUAAUAUAAUUGUUACUUCUGAUGAGAAAGGGGUUGAAGAUCCUUCUCAUAAUGAAAACCAGACUGAGACUUGAGGCUGUUAACAGGCAUAGCAAGAAACAACUGCAUUCAGGGGAAAAGAAAAAAAAAAGUGAUCACCAAAACUGAGCCACAGAUGAGGAGGAGCUUGGCAAAGUUUUAUAUUGAAUGAGAGUACACCCCUGAAAUGAGGGUUCUCCUCAGAGGUCAUUAAGCCAGCAAUUGCACUGAGUGCUAGAAGGCAGUGUUAUACACAAUGGGAUCUGUUUUGCAUACCAGAAAGGUUUGCUUACAUUAUUAUUAGAAUUUAGUCUUGUGGCUCUUUGCCCAAAAGACUGUUUUAUCUUGUUUGAAAGAACAGGAGGAAGAAGGCUAGAUUCUCUAAAAUUUAAGAGAAUGGGACUGCAAGGUGUACUUCCUGUAAGCUGCCAACCUGAAACCAAUCCCUGGAGUCCAUGU
rnacentral:lncRNA from 1 species